GCUACUAGCUGGAUGCUAGGCUAGGCCUCAUCACAAGUACUCACUGAACUUGACCUCUUGGCUGAGUUUGUGGUGUGGUAUUUUUAGAGAUGUUCAUGCACCUAUCAGACAAAUAUGGCUUAAAAAUCGGGUUUAUUGUUUUAGUGAAUCCUCAUGAGGUUUGUUACAGAUUUAAGGCAGUCCCAUUGAGAUUGAAAUCUCUUUUUCAAGAGAGACCUGGCCAAGGAAGCAGUCAACAGAACAACAAAACAACACAACACAGUCAAAUCCCAACAGUCAUCUUACAGCGCCACCUCCUGGCUCCAGAAAACCAACAUGGCUCCGGAAAAUGAUGGACUCAGGGCUGUAAGUUACGGUGGCUGGGAAGCAAGCGGCAACCUCCGGUCUAAAAAUAU